AUUGUUACUACGCAAGGAGGAGCAUCUAGUUCAACAUCUGCCGGUGGCACGAACAACGGAGUGAAGGGUGGGGGAUGAGGAGUCAAAUCAUUCAUCAGCCCUCUCAUGAUCCAUUGUUGCUACCUACACGCUACCUACAAUUGUGCGUGCAAAGCGAAAUAAAAGCGAGAGACCGCCGACGGAUGGAGCGAGGAACUCAANAACAACGUCCCA
rnacentral:rRNA from 1 species